GUGGGUAUGGUUGUCCUGCGAGAGAACGUUCUGUGCUGGUGGGUCCUGAUUCUGUGCUGGUGGGUUUGUUUACAUUGUAUCAGAACGGCAAUAAAACGACUGUUUUGUUGCUUAAUUUUUUCUGAUGCGUCAUAAGUACCAUGCAAAGUAUAUUACAACAAUAUUAUAUUGCAAAAGUCGUGCAAGUUCGUUAAACGGAAUUGUCCUGACGCUGUGCUGGUGAUAAGAAAAAC
rnacentral:lncRNA from 1 species